UCUGGGGUCUAGAGCAUGUAUGUCACACAUGUUCCCAUGCCGAACACAGAAUGUAAGCUCCUUAGCGACGAUGGUAGCCAACUUACGUUCCGCUAGAGUAGAACGUUGCCAGGC
rnacentral:rRNA from 1 species